UUCUUUUAGUUUUUAUUAAAGGUAAUUUUUGCCCUAUGAUUAAAUUUAAAUGGCUGCAGUAUAUUGACUGUACAAAGGUAGCAUAAUAAUUAGUUUCUUAAUUGGUAACUUGUAUGAAAGGAUAAAUGAGGGAUUUUUUUUAUUAUUUUUAUUAUUAAAAUUUUAUUUUUUGGUAAAAAAGCUAAAAUGAAUUUUAGGGACGAGAAGACCCUAUAGAACUUUUAAAGUAUUAAAAUUUGUUUUUUUAGUUUUUUAUAUAUCUUAUUUAAUUUACUUUUUUUAUUGGGGUGAUAGAUAAAUUUAAUAGGCUUUAUUUUUUUUUUUCAUUAAUUAUUGUUUAAUUUGAUCCUUUAAUAAGAUUGAAAGAUAAGUUACCUUAGGGAUAACAGCGUAAUUUUAAUUGAAAGUUCAUAUUUAUAUUAAAGUUUGCGACCUCGAUGUUGAAUUAAGGUAAUUUAAGGUGUA
rnacentral:rRNA from 1 species